GACGAACGCUGGCGGCGUGCUUAACACAUGCAAGUCGAACGGACAGGCCCUGCUUUUGUGGGGUGCUCGAGUGGCGAACGGGUGAGUAACACGUGAGUAUCCUGCCCUUGACUUUGGGAUAACUUCAGGAAACUGGGGCUAAUACCGGAUAGGAGCUCCUGCUGCAUGGUGGGCGUUGGAGAGUUUCGGCGGUUGGGGAUGGACUCGCGGCUUAUCAGCUUGUUGGUGGAGUAGUGGCUUACCAAGGCUAUGACGGGUAGCCGGCCUGAGAGGGUGACCGGCCACAAGGGGACUGAGAGACGGACCAGAAGCCUACGGGAGGCAGCAGGGGGGAAUAUGGCACAAUGGGCGGAAGCCUGAUGCAGCGACGCCGCGUGCGGGAUGACGGCCUUCGGGUGGUAAACCGCUUUCGCCUGUGACGAAGCGUGAGUGACGGUAAUGGGUAAAGAAGCACCGGCUAACUACGUG
rnacentral:rRNA from 1 species